GGGAAUGAUUGAGUAGCUGGUGCUCUUCGCGGCCUUCAAAGCCGUUGUCUUCAGUAAACCUGAAGAGCUGGGUUCGAUUCCCAGGCGUUCCCGCCA
rnacentral:tRNA from 1 species